UAUAGGGUUCUAGCUCAUAGUGGGUUGUCUCUCAAAGACCAACUACUGGGUAACUCUGUUACCUUGGGUGAAGCUUUGAUGGCCCCCACAGCGAUAUAUGUUAAGCAGAUGCAGUUCAUGAUGUGUCUCAGCAUAUGGAAGAGCUUUUUGGUCUCUAAUGCCUCUUGAUCAAGGUAGAAUAUAUGCCCCAGUUGAGCUUUCGUCUUCUUUGUCAUUUAGGUUCUUUGCAUUAUAAUCUCUUUGUGUUCGAUCUGUGCCAUUUGUCUUCCUCUUACCAUAAGCUCUAUCUUCUGUGUUUUGAUUCUAGGUUCAAGAUGCAUCCAGUGGCCUUGAAAUUAGAAGGGAGUCCAUAGGAGAAGGAGUUCAUCCAGAUUCAACUAGUGAUCAAGAAAUUGAGCACGCUCCAGUACUCACCAAGCCCUCUAGUUAAUGAUAAAUAGUAUUGUGGUCAAGUCUGCUUUUGAACAAUAUUAAGUUUGGGAAUGUUUCUUCCAGAGUUUCAGUUAUCUAGUAUGGUAGAUUCUUAGUAGAUUCUUAUAAUUAUGAAAGACUCUGGUUUGUUUGGUUAAUUUCAAUUUGUACUUGGUAAUGAAAUAUAACUUGGCACUUAUCAUUUGUGAGAUAGCU